CCUUAAUUAAGUCAUGUAAAAAAUCUUUAGUAGUUGACUACUGUUGUAUUCAUCCACUAUGUUGAUCAGGAACAAAUUCUCUAAUAGCAUCAUCGCUUUAAUCAAAAACACCUAAUAAUAUCCUUAUAACUCCAGAACAGAACAGGUGCUUUCUUUGAAGAUUUGGAGUUUAGAAUCAAAGAUUAAGAUGGAUGAGGAAGAAGUAGAGGUUUGGGAUCGAGCAUCAAGAGGAUGUAGUCACACUCACAGCUGCAACCCUCCAGGCCCAGAAGAUGCUUCUCACUCACACACAUGCUUCCACGCUCACACUCAUCUCAUCAUCCCUGUAAUACAUAACUUACUUUCUCUUAUCUUCUUAUAUGAUAUAUAUUCUAAAAGAUAUUUGAAUGGCUUGUUAUAUAGAUUUAUGUAUAUAUAUAUUCAUGUUUUUCCAAAAGGAUUCGGGAGAGAAUGAUCAUUGUGACGGUAGCAACAAGAAACGGUCAUGUGGGAACAGAGAGGCAGUGAGGAAGUAUAGGGAGAAGAAGAAGGCUCGCACUGCGUACCUUGAAGACGAAGUGAAGAGACUGCAAUCUCUGAAUGAGCAAUUGAUUAGAAAGCUUCAGAGCCAAGAAAUGGUGGAAACCGAAAUCAUCAGACUCCGGACUCUUCUGGUAGAGAUGCAAGGCAUGAUUGAUGGUGAGCUUGGUGGUUUCUCGUUUCAGAAGCAAUGCAACGGCUCUGGUUUUGUGUUCAAAGAAGGUGAUGUCUCCUUUUGUUUUGGUUUACAAUCUGAUAAGUUGAUGGAAAUAUCACAAUGGAAAGUAGAAGAACUAGUAAAUAACUUAUAAAUAUGAAAGAACGGUGAUGAUCACUAGUAUGUUAAAUGAAUAGUUGAAUGAUGGAAUAGCAGAAUAAUAAACUAGCGUCAACACUUGAGCUGAACGAAUUUAUGGUUAGUGACUAUAAAAUACUGAAUUUUUUUUGUAGAUUAAUGGUUUCAUUUUCUUUGGUUAUCUUUUUAACAUAUGCAUUCGUAUAUGCUGUAAUCACUUUGAAAAAAUGUAAAAGAUUGGGUAAGUGUUUUGAAUGAUUAAAAACUACCGUUCUUAAACCUCUUAGACGUAAAUAAAUGGUAUACCAUUCAUCACCAUAUUUUUUUUAUUUUUGACAAACGGACUUUUAUGAUUAAGUUUUGUUUGACCUGGGUCGUAAUCACACAGAUGAAUGCGACGUAGCAACAAGGAACGUGAUGUGUGAAGCGGCAAUAGUGGAGUGCAAUGAGGGCCAACCACUUG
rnacentral:lncRNA from 1 species